AACGAACGCUGGCGGCAGGCUUAACACAUGCAAGUCGAACGCUCGUAGCAAUACGGGAGUGGCGGACGGGUGAGUAACGCGUGGGAACGUGCCCUGAGGUACGGAAUAACUGCGGGAAACUGCAGCUAAUACCGUAUGAGCCCCGCAAGGGGGAAAGAUUUAUCGCCUUGGGAGCGGCCCGCGUCGGAUUAGCUAGUUGGUGGGGUAACGGCCUACCAAGGCUUCGAUCCGUAGCUGGUCUGAGAGGACGAUCAGCCACACUGGGACUGAGACACGGCCCAGACUCCUACGGGAGGCAGCAGUGGGGAAUCUUGCGCAAUGGGGGCAACCCUGACGCAGCCAUGCCGCGUGAAUGAUGAAGGCCUUAGGGUUGUAAAGUUCUUUUGCCCGUGACGAUGAUGACGGUAACGGGAGAAUAAGCUCCGGCUAACUUCGUGCCAGCAGCCGCGGUAAAGUAGUCGUG
rnacentral:rRNA from 1 species